GGUAUCGUAAUUGAAGAGGUUUGGAAAGACCCACCACAGAAGGUAAUAGUCCUGUAUGUUAAACGAGAAGACUUUAGAUAUGAUCCAGAGUACCACGGGACACGUGAAACCCUGUGGGAAGCAGGAGGGACCACCCUCCAAGGCUAAAUACUACCUAGUGACCGAUAGCGUAUAGUACCGUGAGGGAAAGGUGAAAAGAACCCCGGGAGGGGAGUGAAAUAGAACCUGAAACCCUGCACUUACAAGCUGUGGAAGCACAUUUCUUGUGUGACCGCGUACUUUUUGUAGAACGGGCCAACGAGUUACGUUAAGUAG
rnacentral:rRNA from 1 species